UACGGGGGGGCAAGGCGUUGUUCGGAAUUACUGGGCGUAAAGGGCUCGAGUAGGUGGCCAACUAAGUCGGACGUGAAAUCCCUCGGCUUAACCGGGGAACUGCGUCCGAUACUGGAUGGCUUGAGUUUGGGAGAGGGACGCGGAAUUCCAGGUGUAGCGGUGAAAUGCGUAGAUAUCUGGAGGAACACCGGUGGCGAAGGCGGCGUCCUGGACCAACACUGACACUGAGGAGCGAAAGCCAGGGAGCAAACGGG
rnacentral:rRNA from 1 species